rnacentral:rRNA from 1 species
AACGGCCGUACCAUGGUGAAUAUACCGGUUCUCGUUAGAUCACCGAAGUGAAGCAUCAUUGGGCGCUCAGAACUUGGGUGGGUGACCACUUGGGAACAACGUGCCGUU